UUCCUGAUACAUAUUGAUGUCCUUAUGCUGUGUAUUAAUGUCCUUAUAUUCUCUCCUCUCCUUACAGUCGUUGCGUCACUUGUGUUCAGUGAUUCCUGGUAGAGAUGAUAUUGAGACUUUUCGUUUGAAAAUGAUUUUAAGAUUAUUACAAAUACCAAGCUUUAGUGGGAAAAUGAACGCCCUCAAUGAAAUUAAUAAGAUUGUCCCUUCAAUGAGUUAUCAUCCUCACUUCAGGACAAUAGGAGAUGAGGAACAACUUACCACUGAAAGAA